CUCAACCUAUCCAUUCAUCAACAUAAUUUAGCAUCAGAAAAUCCUUAGCAAUCUUCAAUUCAUUCAUUCAGCAUAAUGCCUCCUCCUAAAACUUCAUUGGUUUUCUUAAUCUUUGCCUUGAUGGCUAUUUCUGCACAUUUGCAGAUGGCAUCAGCACUUCAGUUUGAAUGCGCUUCUGGCAAGUCCUUAGGUGUUAAAUUACUCAACGGCGACCAGUGCACUUUGGACAUAGACUGUGUUGAUUUAUGUAAGGAGCAGUGCGAUGUAAACUUUAAGGGCAUUUCCACAGCUUCAGCUUGUAUCCUUGGCCUCCUAGAGGUUCAAGUUAAGAGCUGCUGUUGUUGUUGUGUCACAGUCUAGAGUGUAUGCUACUCCAUGAGUAGCUAAUUUGAUGACCUCGGUCUAGCUGUUGAUGGAUAUUAAGCUUGCUAUCGAGUUGGAAUACUACGUCAAUUCGGAGAAAUGAAAGAAAUUAUAAGCAUUUUAAUUAUUUAAAAAUAAUUAAUCUCAUAUAAUUAAGUGUGGGUGUGUGUGCCGCUAUGUAUAUGUGGCUAUAUACACUUAAUUAGCUGCUUCUGUUUGUUUGUGUUCGUCGUGCAGUAUUGGGUGAUUCUGUCGUUAUUGAUCAGUACUUUGUACAUCUUUUUAUGAGUAUAUGAUUUCGCUUGGUA